rnacentral:rRNA from 1 species
UACGGGGGGGGUAAGCGUUGUUCGGAAUUACUGGGCGUAAAGGGCUCGUAGGCGGCCAACUAAGUCAGACGUGAAAUCCCUCAGCUUAACUGGGGAACUGCGUCUGAUACUGGAUGGCUUGGAUCCGGGAGAGGGAUGCGGAAUUCCAGGUGUAGCGGUGAAAUGCGUAGAUAUCUGGAGGAACACCGGUGGCGAAGGCGGCAUCCUGGACCGGUAUUGACGCUGAGGCGCGAAAGCGUGGGGAGCAAACAGG